rnacentral:rRNA from 1 species
AGAGUUUGAUUCUGGCUCAGGAUGAACGCUAGCGGCAGGCCUAAUACAUGCAAGUCGUACGGGAUCGCCCCGUCGGGGGCGUGAGAGUGGCGGACGGGUGCGCAACGCGUAUGCAACCCACCCCCCGAGGGCGGACAGCCGGUGGAAACGCCGGGUGAGCCGCCGUGCGGCCCAGGAGGGGGCACUCCCCUUUGGGCGAUAGCCGAGAGGCGGCGGGGGACGGGCAUGCCGUCCCAUUAGCUUGUUGGCGGUGCAACGGACCACCAAGGCUACGAUGGGUAGGGGAUCUGAGAGGACGGUCCCCCCACACUGGCACUGAGACACGGGCCAGACUCCUGGCGGGAGGCAGCAGGUAGGGGAUAGUUGGGCAAGUGGGGGCAACCCUGACCCAGCCAUGCCGCCGUGAGGGAAGUAGGCCCUACGGGUCGUGAACCUCUUUUGACCGGGGACAAUGGCGGCGUCGAGAACGCUGCUUGAGGGUACCGGUGGAAUAAGCAUCGGCUAACUCCGUGCCAGCCGCCGC